AGACCUUGAGAUGCUCACUACAUACGGUUUUUUUCAAGCUCUACUUGUAGCACCAUAUCUUGAUAAAGAAUAUUCAAACCUAGGAUCUCCUUGCUAUUUUCAAUCAAUAUCUUCUGAGAAUGCAAGCUAGAAUGAUAUCCCAAAAAUCUCCCCUCUCAAACCACUAAAUUGAUAGCUAGAAAUGGAAUAUAUCAUUUUUUAAUGUUUAAAAAAAAAUCAAAGCUGUAGAUUAAUA
rnacentral:lncRNA from 1 species